AAUGAACGUUGGCGGCGUGGAUUAGGCAUGCGAGUCGUGCGAUAACCGUAGCAAUACGGGGACAGCGGCGAAAGGGAGAGGAAUACGUGGAUACCUACCCUCAGGUUCAGUAUAGCUAUGGGAAAAUAUAGGUAAUACUGAAUAAUAUCUCCGGAUCAAAGGUGUGAUUCCACCUGAGGAGGGGUCCGCGUCCUAUUAGCUAGUUGGUGCGGUAACGGCGCACCAAGACGAAGAAGGGUACGGGAUGUGAGAGCAUAAUCCCGCUCAUUGGAACUGAGACACUGCCCAGACACCUACGGGUGGCUGCAGUCGAGAAUCUUCGGCAAUGGGGGAAACCCUGACCGAGCGACGCCGCGUGUGAGAUGAAGGCCUUCGGGUUGUAAAUCACUGUCGUAGAGGAGGAAAUGUAGGUGGGUUCUCCCAUCUAUUUGACCUAUUCUAGGAGGAAGGACGGGCUAAGUUCGUGCCAGCCGCCGCGGUAA
rnacentral:rRNA from 1 species